AAUGAGGGUCUAAGAGCUGGGGACCGGAACCUUUCCAUGUUCUUCCCAGUGUCAUUGCCCUCAGAGA
rnacentral:snoRNA from 15 species